UACGUAGGGGGCAAGCGUUGUCCGGAUUUAUUGGGCGUAAAGAGCGUGUAGGCGGCCUGGUAGGUCAGCUGUGAAAACUCGAGGCUCAACCUCGAGACGUCGGUUGAAACCACCUGGCUAGAGUCCGGAAGAGGAGAGUGGAAUUCCCGGUGUAGCGGUGAAAUGCGCAGAUAUCGGGAAGAACACCGGUGGCGAAGGCGGGUCUCUGGGCCGAAAUUGACGCUGAGGAGCGAAAGCGUGGGGAGCGAACAGG
rnacentral:rRNA from 1 species